rnacentral:rRNA from 1 species
UACGAAGGGGGCUAGCGUUGCUCGGAAUUACUGGGCGUAAAGGGCUCGUAGGCGGCCAACUAAGUCAGACGUGAAAUCCCUCGGCUUAACCGGGGAACUGCGUCUGAUACUGGAUGGCUAGAGUUUGGGAGAGGGAUGCGGAAUUCCAGGUGUAGCGGUGAAAUGCGUAGAUAUCUGGAGGAACACCGGUGGCGAAGGCGGCAUCCUGGACCAACACUGACGCUGAGGAGCGAAAGCCAGGGGAGCAAACGGG